ensembl:lncRNA
CUCGCCAUGUGACUGAGAGCUCCGCAGCAUGGAGGUAUAUGUGGAAAUGGUCUUGGUACAGUUCAAAGACGUUGCCUAAAUAACUUAUGCGAAGCCAACAUGAGGAGAAGCAACAGAAGGAGAAAGACGUGUUGGGAGAAAAAGUGCACGUGAGAAAUGGGGGCUGCCUGCGAGGCAUGAGGUGAGCUCCAGCAGGCCUUCUGCCACACAGCAGAAAUUUGGAGGCCUCGGAGGCAUGAAAUGGUCCAUGGAAGACACAGUGAUGAAGUGUAGGAAAUGAGAAGGAGCCAUGUGGUCAUCCAAAGGGGUGAGAAG